AGAGCGAACGCUGGCGGCAGGCUUAACACAUGCAAGUCGAGCGGGCGUAGCAAUACGUCAGCGGCAGACGGGUGAGUAACGCGUGGGAACGUACCUUUUGGUUCGGAACAACCCAGGGAAACUUGGGCUAAUACCGGAUAAGCCCUUACGGGGAAAGAUUUAUCGCCGAAAGAUCGGCCCGCAUCUGAUUAGCUAGUUGGUGAGGUAAUGGCUCACCAAGGCGACGAUCAGUAGCUGGUCUGAGAGGAUGAUCAGCCACAUUGGGACUGAGACACGGCCCAAACUCCUACGGGAGGCAGCAGUGGGGAAUAUUGGACAAUGGGCGCAAGCCUGAUCCAGCCAUGCCGCGUGAGUGAUGAAGGCCCUAGGGUUGUAAAGCUCUUUUGUGCGGGAAGAUAAUGACGGUACCGCAAGAAUAAGCCCCGGCUAACUUCGUGCCAGCAGCCGC
rnacentral:rRNA from 1 species